GGACUUGCUGCUGCAGCUGCGGUUCUGCUGUGUCAUGCAAGAAGGAGGCGGCGGCGGCGGCCGGAGCUGGAGGGGGAGGAGGGGAGGAACCUGAUCCUCGGUAGCGAAGGGCUGGAGGCAAACACCGAGCUCCCCCUGAGCCGCCUGGGAGCAGGGAGGGUUCUGCUACCCUGAGGGGCCCUCCCCGCGGGGCAGAGGGGUUUCCUCAGCAGUGCCCCGGAGCAGGGACCGCGCCAGCCAGCAGAAACAGCUAGUUGUUGUCUGCAGUGAAGAAUAAUUGGAAGCAUGGUGCCUGUUUCUUUUCCUAGGAGUGUUCCACUGACUGACCUCUUUUUGUUUUCAAAUGAAGAGGAGCCAAGAAUAGGACAGCUUGGGAAGGUGAGCUGCGUAUAGCUCGUCAGGCUGAGCUCAUCCUCGUCUACGGCCAAACGUUGGUUUCUCAUUUCUAGAAGAUGAAAGAUGUGAUGACUCAGGAAAAACUGGAAUCUUAGUAACUGUGGUGGGCAUUGAGCCUUGCCGUCCACAAGAGAAAGCUUGCUGCUCGAGAUGUGAGUCUUCAGAUGUUCCUGCCGCCAUAUCUGACAGCUGCUGCCAAGAUUCCCUGGUGGGAUGGACUCUUAUACCUCAACAACCAGAAGCCCAAGUAAACUCUUCUAUAAAUUGAAUGACUCAUGCUUAAAAAAAAAAACAAAAAACAAACUAUCUUUAUUUU
rnacentral:lncRNA from 1 species